rnacentral:rRNA from 1 species
UACAGAGGUGGCAAGCGUUGUUCGGAAUUAUUGGGCGUAAAGAGCUCGUAGGCGGUCUGUUGCGUCGGCUGUGAAAACCCGGGGCUCAACCCCGGGCCUGCAGCCGAUACGGGCAGACUAGAGUUCGGCAGGGGAGACUGGAAUUCCUGGUGUAGCGGUGAAAUGCGCAGAUAUCAGGAGGAACACCGGUGGCGAAGGCGGGUCUCUGGGCCGAUACUGACGCUGAGGAGCGAAAGCGUGGGGAGCGAACAGG